CGGAACCGUGGUCCAACUGGAAAGACGGGUGGACUCAUAAUCCCCAGUUGCAGGUUCAAGUCCUGCCGGUUCUGU
rnacentral:tRNA from 1 species